UUCCUGCAAGUUAGUUUCAGUUUUAUGUUUGCAUUCCUCUUCAGCGGCUCAGUGAGGCAUACUGCAUGUGAAGUGAAAUCUGUCAUCUUGUUAUGAACUGAUAAACAUGAACAAAGUCUCAAACCUUCAGUAGGAUGACCUCAACAACAGCAGACGGGAAACAAUGCCGAGCAGCAGUCCCAUAAAGAGCGUAAUGAUUGCAAAAAUCACGUAAGAGCCCCAGGAAGGGAUGCCCAGCGUAUUCGUCAGGAGAGAGGAUGGAGACUUCCAUCCAGGCACCGGCUCAACCGUCGCCCACUUCUUCUGCUCAACAUACGCCUGGAUAUCCUCAAUAGUCCGUGAUGAAACAU